GUGCUCGCUCCGGCAGCACGUGCACUAAAAUGGGAAGGAUACAGAGAUUAGCACGGCCCCGCGCAAGGAUGACACGCAAAUUCGUGAAGCGUUCCAUAAUUAA